rnacentral:rRNA from 1 species
CCUACGGGAGGCAGCAGUGGGGAAUAUUGCACAAUGGGGGAAACCCUGAUGCAGCGACGCCGCGUGAGUGAAGAAGUAUUUCGGUAUGUAAAGCUCUAUCAGCAGGGAAGAAAAUGACGGUACCUGAUUAAGAAGCCCCGGCUAACUACGUGCCAGCAGCCGCGGUAAUACGUAGGGGGCAAGCGUUAUCCGGAUUUAUUGGGUUUAAGGGGUUCGCAGGCGGUCUGUUAAGUCAGCGGUCAAAGCCCGGGGCUAACCCCCGGCCCGCCGUUGAAACUGGCAGUCUCGAGUUGGAGAGAAGUAUGCGGAAUGCGCGGUGUAGCGGUGAAAUGCAUAGAUAUCGCGCAGAACUCCGAUUGCGAAGGCAGCAUGCCGGCUCCACACUGACGCUGAGGCACGAAAGCGUGGGUAUCGAACAGGAUUAGAUACCCUUGUAGUC